rnacentral:rRNA from 1 species
GAUGAACGCUGGCGGCGUGCCUAAUACAUGCAAGUCGAGCGAACGGACGAGAAGCUUGCUUUUCUGAUGUUAGCGGCGGACGGGUGAGUAACACGUGGAUAACCUACCUAUAAGACUGGGAUAACUUCGGGAAACCGGAGCUAAUACCGGAUAAUAUUUUGAACCGCAUGGUUCAAAAGUGAAAGACGGUCUUGCUGUCACUUAUAGAUGGAUCCGCGCUGCAUUAGCUAGUUGGUAAGGUAACGGCUUACCAAGGCAACGAUGCAUAGCCGACCUGAGAGGGUGAUCAGCCACACUGGAACUGAGACACGGUCCAGACUCCUACGGGAGGCAGCAGUAGGGAAUCUUCCGCAAUGGGCGAAAGCCUGACGGAGCAACGCCGCGUGAGUGAUGAAGGUCUUCGGAUCGUAAAACUCUGUUAUUAGGGAAGAACACAUGUGUAAGUAACUGUGCACAUCUUGACGGUACCUAAUCAGAAAGCCACGGCUAACUACGUG